AUUGAACGCUGGCGGCAGACCUAACACAUGCAAGUCGAACGAGUGGCGGACGGGUGAGUAAUGUCUGGGAAACUGCCUGAUGUAGGGGGAUAACUACUGGAAACGGUAGCUAAUACCGCAUACAAUCCGCUGGGCCCAGAUGGGAUUAGCUAGUUGGUGGGGUAAAGGCUCACCAAGGCGAAGAUCCCUAGCUGGUCUGAGAGGCUGACCAGCCACACUGGAACUGAGACACGGUCCAGACUCCUACGGGAGGCAGCAGUGGGGAAUAUUGCACAAUGGGCGCAAGCCUGAUGCAGCCAUGCCGCGUGGAUGAAGAAGGCUUUCGGGUUGUAAAGUACGUUCAGCGGGGAGGCGUUACCCGCAGAAGAAGCACCGGCUAACUCCGUGCCAGCAGCCGCGGUAAUAC
rnacentral:rRNA from 1 species